UACGUAGGUGGCAAGCGUUGUCCGGAAUUAUUGGGCGUAAAGCGCGCGCGAGCGCUCUUAAGUCUGAUGUGAAAGCCCCCGGCUCAACCGGGGAGGGCCAUUGGAAACUGGGAGGCUUGAGUAUAGGAGAGAAGAGUGGAAUUCCACGUGUAGCGGUGAAAUGCGUAGAGAUGUGGAGGAACACCAGUGGCGAAAGCGGCUUCCUGGUCCGACACCGACGUUCAGGCACGAAAGCGUGGGGAGCAAACAGG
rnacentral:rRNA from 1 species